AAGCGUGCGCACGGCGGUUAUACAAGACAGGCGUGAAAUCCCCGGGCUUAACCUGGGAAUGGCGUCUGUGACUGUAUGACUAGAGUGUGUCAGAGGGGGGUAGAAUUCCACGUGUAGCAGUGAAAUGCGUAGAUAUGUGGAGGAAUACCAAUGGCGAAGGCAGCCCCCUGGGAUAACACUGACGCUCAUGCACGAAAGCGUGGGGAGCAAACAGGAUUAGAUACCCUAGU
rnacentral:rRNA from 1 species